ACCCUCACUCACACCAAUACACAUGCUUCUGCACAUGCUGUUCCAUGUGCACACGCACGCUUCUGCACAUGCUGUUCCCAUGUGCACAGACACACUUCUGCACAUGCUCUUUCCUGGCCUGGUGUGUGUCACGUCUGCAGGAAGCCAGUGCGUGUGCCAGAACAACCAUGCUGCACACAGGAGACCUACUACAAGAAUUACAUUUCUUCCCUGGUUCCAGUCACAGGCCAGAGAGCAGGUUUAUGAAAGGUUAAUGCCCCCUUA